GGAGAGGUACCCAAGCGGUCGAAGGGGCGCGCCUGGAGAGCGCGUGUGCCCCAAAAGGGCACCGUGGGUUCGAAUCCCACCCUCUCCG
rnacentral:tRNA from 1 species